rnacentral:tRNA from 1 species
AUUUAAAUAGUUUAAUUUUAAAAUAAUAAUUUGUGAUAUUAUAGAUAUAUUUUUAAAAUAUUUUAAAUC